GAUGAAGUUUUCGGAUGGAAUUUUGUAUAGUUUAGUGGCGGACGGGUGAGUAACACGUGAGCAACCUGCCUUCGAGAGGGGAAUAACGGCUGGAAACGGUCGCUAAUACCGCAUAACAUACAGGAGGGACAUCCCUUUUGUAUCAAAGAUUUAUCGCUCGAAGAUGGGCUCGCGUCCGAUUAGGUAGUUGGUGAGGUAAUGGCCCACCAAGCCGACGAUCGGUAGCCGGACUGAGAGGUUGAACGGCCACAUUGGGACUGAGACACGGCCCAGACUCCUACGGGAGGCAGCAGUGGGGGAUAUUGCACAAUGGGGGAAACCCUGAUGCAGCGACGCCGCGUGUAGGAAGACGGUCCUCUGGAUUGUAAACUACUGUCCCCAGGGACGAAGAUGACGGUACCUGGGGAGGAAGCUCCGGCUAACUACGUGCCAGCAGCCGCGGUAAUACGUAGGGAGCGAGCGUUGUCCGGAAUUACUGGGUGUAAAGGGAGCGUAGGCGGGGAUGCAAGUUGGGUGUUAAAUCUACCGGCUCAACUGGUAGUCGCACUCAAAACUGCAGCUCUUGAGUGAAGUAGAGGCAGGCGGAAUUCCUAGUGUAGCGGUGAAAUGCGUAGAUAUUAGGAGGAACACCAGUGGCGAAGGCGGCCUGCUGGGCUUUUACUGACGCUGAGGCUCGAAAGUGUGGGGAGCAAACAGGAUUAGAUACCCUGGUAGUCCACACCGUAAACGAUGAUUACUAGGUGUGGGGGGUCUGACCCCCUCCGUGCCGGAGCAAACGCAAUAAGUAAUCCACCUGGGGAGUACGGCCGCAAGGUUGAAACUCAAAGGAAUUGACGGG
rnacentral:rRNA from 1 species